rnacentral:rRNA from 1 species
GUGGGGAAUAUUGGACAAUGGGCGAAAGCCUGAUCCAGCCAUGCCGCGUGUGUGAAGAAGGUCUUCGGAUUGUAAAGCACUUUAAGUUGGGAGGAAGGGCAGUAAGUUAAUACCUUGCUGUUUUGACGUUACCGACAGAAUAAGCACCGGCUAACUUCGUGCCAGCAGCCGCGGUAAUACGAAGGGUGCAAGCGUUAAUCGGAAUUACUGGGCGUAAAGCGCGCGUAGGUGGUUUUGUAAGUUGGAGGUGAAAUCCCCGGGCUCAACCUGGGAACUGACUCCAAAACUGCAUGACUAGAGUACGGUAGAGGUUAGUGGAAUUUCCUGUGUAGCGGUGAAAUGCGUAGAUAUAGGAAGGAACACCAGUGGCGAAGGCGACUACCUGGACUGAUACUGACACUGAGGUGCGAAAGCGUGGGGAGCAAACAGGAUUAGAAACCCUUGUAGUCC